rnacentral:tRNA from 1 species
GCGGCUAUGGUGUAAUGGCAGCACUAGAGGUUGUGGACCUCCCAGUAGCGGUUCGAAACCGCUUAGCCGCCCA